rnacentral:rRNA from 1 species
GAUGAACGCUGGCGGCGUGCCUAACACAUGCAAGUCGAGCGAUUCUCUUCGGAGAAGAGCGGCGGACGGGCGAGUAACGCGUGGGUAACCUGCCUCAUACACAUGGAUAACAUACCGAAAGGUAUGCUAAUACAAGAUGAUAUAAGAAAUUCGCAUGGAUUUCUUAUCAAAGCUCCGGCGGUAUGAGAUGGACCCGCGUCUGAUUAGCUAGUUGGUAAGGUAACGGCUUACCAAGGCGACGAUCAGUAGCGACCUGAGAGGGUGAUCGGCCACAUUGGAACUGAGACACGGUCCAAACUCCUACGGGAGGCAGCAGUGGGGAAUAUUGGCACAAUGGGCGAAAGCCUGAUGCAGCAACGCCGCGUGAGCGAUGAAGGCCUU